rnacentral:lncRNA from 1 species
CUAUCUCCAUCGAUAUAAUCACCUCCUCUACUCACCCCCUUAUUCUAUUCCUCCUGGACUACUUAGUCUGACGAAUGCGAUGGAGAACUUUCCGGCAAACUGAGAGAAGAGAGAAUGAAUAAUGGUAAAGGAGAUCUGCAACUUACAAAGUUUCUAACGAUGUGAAAGUUUUUUGGCUGAAAAAGUUCUUUUUCGAUAUGAAAAUUUUGCAAAGUUGUUUUAGAUUUGGGGUUUUUGUAUCAAAUCUAAGAGCAUUUCUUGCUUUCUCGUUUCACAUCAGAUAUGAGGAAGAAAAUGAAGAAAGUGGAGAGUUUUGCGAAAACAAAGUAAGAAAAUCGUCAGAAAAAGGCGAAAGGAGGGGAAUCGUUG